ACAUGAAUUGUGGAAUGUUUGAUGUUCCGCUCUUUCCCGUCACGUGAGUGCGAAUCGACCUUAAAAAAUCAAAUCACUUUCAUCAUUCAUCGUUAUGCAAACGAAGUGACGUUUUGUUGACAUUCCGUUUACCCUGAACACCAGUCCUUUUGAUGGUGACGCCUUUCAUUUCAUUGACUUCCGCUGUGGAUUGACUUGUGCUGUCUAUGGGAAGCACCUGCAAUGGAAGGCAAUAGAGAGACAUUUAAAUAACCUUGGACAUUUGUAUUAUUUUUUGGGCGAGCGGCCGAGUUUUAACGUAGUCAUUCUUUGCUCGUUCAGUUUUGACAGUUCUCUGUGAUUGGGUUCGUUGUCAUAUUGUUGAAUGGAAGUUCGAAGAGUAACAAAUAGUUAUAGUGCUUACCGUCGUCUUUCUGUGCAGUAGAGAUAGCGCAUUGGGAUAUGCCUAUAUGUCUUUAGAGAAUUUUUUGCAAGACAGGGAUUAGGUACAUUUGGAUUCAGCGCAUGGCAACACUGCGGUAAUUGUCUCAUGUUGAAAGAUGACAAGCGUUUUGCGCAUUUUCAAAAGCACGAGUGACGAGAUGAUUGUGAUUUAGGAUGUGGUUGCACUGUUGUUAAAUGUAAAUUGUUGUUCGUAGUUUCUGUAGUACAUCGUUGCGCUACGGAGACAGCCUUGAAAAUCCACAGGGAUGGUUUGCAUUCCCUGUAUUGUAGUACCCUUCUUCUUAUUUAUAUGGUACCGCUUCAUUCAGCCAGUUGUCUUGCAAUACUGGAAUCCAUGGAGGCAAGUGCAGAGCUCUAGCACUUCUAUUGCAGAUUCUGGGCAGCUUGACGGUGAAUCACCAGGAGGGAAACUGGAAAAUGGUGACACAAAAACUUUUAUAUCCUCAGCAAAAUGCAGUGAUAACAUUGUGAAGGAAAAGUCUCUGUAAAGCAUUUAUAUUGGUUAUUCUUCCUAGCAUUCCUUUGUUAUUUGUUAUUUUAAAAAAAAUUCUAUAAAGUGUAAUAUUUAUUUUGAAAUGUAAGCACCAAUAAAAAAUAUUAUCAAUUAA